GACGAACGCUGGCGGCGUGCCUAAUACAUGCAAGUCGAACGCUGAAGGAGGAGCUUGCUUCUCUGGAUGAGUUGCGCACGGGUGAGUAACGCGUAGGUAACCUGCCUGGUAGCGGGGGAUAACUAUUGGAAACGAUAGCUAAUACCGCAUAAGAGUAGAUGUUGCAUGACAUUUGCUUAAAAGGUGCAAUUGCAUCACUACCAGAUGGACCUGCGUUGGAUUAGCUAGUUGGUGAGGUAACGGCUCACCAAGGCAACGAUACAUAGCCGGCCUGAGAGGGGGAUCGGCCAAAAUGGGAAUGAGACACGGGCCAGACUCCCAAGGGAGGAAGCAGUAGGGAAUCUUCGGCAAUGGACGGAAGUCUGACCGAGCAACGCCGGGUGAGUGAAGAAGGUUUUCGGAUCGUAAAGCUCUGUUGUAAGAGAAGAACGAGUGUGAGAGUGGAAAGUUCACACUGUGACGGUAUCUUACCAGAAAGGGACGGCUAACUACGUG
rnacentral:rRNA from 1 species